rnacentral:rRNA from 1 species
UACAGAGGGGGCAAGCGUUGUUCGGAAUUACUGGGCGUAAAGGGCGCGUAGGCGGCCGCCUAAGUCAGACGUGAAAUCCCUCGGCUCAACCGGGGAACUGCGUCUGAUACUGGGUGGCUUGAAUCCGGGAGAGGGAUGCGGAAUUCCAGGUGUAGCGGUGAAAUGCGUAGAUAUCUGGAGGAACACCGGUGGCGAAGGCGGCAUCCUGGACCAAUUCUGACGCUGAGGAGCGAAAGCCAGGGGAGCAAACGGG